UUGCGCCUCUCUCGACACGACUCCGUGCUCCACCCCGCCAUCAUCUCCGGAGACUGCCGUUGGCGACAUUUACUCGGUCUCCAACUGGAUCUCUGCCACUCCGCCGCUCACAGCCUUGUCUCCGCUUCUCCGCCGCUCACAACUCCGUCUCUCCGCUUCUCACCCUCUAACCCUCUCACCCUCUCCGUCCCUCCGUCUCUACGGAAACCCUAGAUCUGCCUUCGAGACUUUUCUGGUGACUACCUUUGGCCAUGAAAAUGUAACAGUCAAAAGAAAUUGAUUCUCGCAAACCAUAUGCAGUGUAUUAGGCCAGGCUCACCAACAAUGAUAGAAUGGUCUGAGGGACUUCAACUUGCCAAUUCAUGCUUUACCAGAUGCCAUGAGUCAACUGUUGGUUUGCAUCUGUCAGUGUUGAUACCAUCUGCUAGUGAGCUGAAGACACUAUUAAUCUUAUUACAGAUGCAAUAAGCAAUAAACCUCUUAAGGGUUCUCUAAAGCAGCAAUCUAAAUACCAACCACCAGCAAGGAAUCUUCCCAAGUGAAGAUGAAAGAAUAAAUGAAGACAACAAGACAAAGGAGCCUAGUAGUGGAGUUUACUUACUAGGAGUUUACUUCAUGAAACAAACUGUGGGAAAUGCAUGUGGGACAAUCACACUUCUUCAUGUUGUUAUAAUAUCACUUCAAUUCAGAGAUAAGGCUUGUUACAGGAAUAUCAUUGGAGCAGUCUCCUGCCAGUUGAAGAUUCUCAACAUGUUAAUUCAGUUGCCAAUCUUGACUGCACACUUCCUCAUAUGGUACAAUGUUGGUGGCACUAUGCAGAUAAUAGUUUGGAGAUUGAAUCAAAGUUAAAUUUCAGAAUUUUAGAUUUUGACUUGUUCUAAAUUUUUAAUUGUAUAUUCCUGAAUGAAUUCUCUUCAAGCUUCAAGCUUCAAAAAUGUAUAUAUGUUAUUCAACAAAUA